rnacentral:lncRNA from 1 species
CGGUAGCGCUUGGGGUUGGCAACGGCUGGACUGUGACUGGGCAGGAAAUGGCAGAAGGAAGUGACGAGUCAGGAAGUGAGAUGGGAUUCGAAGAAGAUGGCGGGGGAGAUAGUAGUGUAUGGAAUGUAGUACGAUCGAGAAAACGGAAAAAAAAAGGAAAUGAAACAACGAAUAUGGAUGAAACUGAUAGUGAGCAAAGUGUUAUUGUAACAACAAGGCAGGAAGAAGAACAUAAAGUGAUCGUAAAAUUAUAUGAAGAAGGGACGACGUUUGGUGAGUGGAACCCGGUUAAAUUAACAAAAGCAAUAAAUAAAUUGCUGGGUGAGAUCAAAAAUGCUAAGGUAUUGAGGAACGGCUCACUGUUGAUUGUUUGUAGAAAUAAAGUGCAGCAAGAAAAAGCCUUACGACUGAAUAAAAUCGAUAGUAAGAGAGUGCAGUGUUCGGUAUUUGAGUACAAAAAAUUGAUUCGAGGAGUCAUUUCAGGGAUACCUACAGACAUUUCAGAAGAACAAAUGAAAGAUAAUAUGACAGGGGCAAAAGUUUUGGAAGUAAAACGCCUUACAACAACUAGAAAUGGAGAGAAAUGCAACAGCUUGUCUGUUAUGAUUAAGUUUGAUGAAUCAAAACUUCCUGGCAAGGUGUACAUCGGAUACAUGAGCUAUGAGGUCAGGCCAUAUAUUCCUCCACCACUGAGGUGCUUUAAGUGCCAGAAAUAUGGUCAUGUAGCAGCAAUAUGUAAGGGCAAACAAAGAUGUGGCAGAUGUGCAGGUGAACAUGAGUACGGAAAGUGUGGAGAGGGAGUAGAGCUUAAGUGCUGUAACUGUGGAGGACAGCAAAGCUCGGCUUACCGCGGAUGCGAAGCCAGCAAGAGGGCAGUGGAGGUGCAACGAAUGAAGGCAUUACAAGGAAUAACAUAUGCAGAAGCAGUAAAGAAAGUGUCUAGAGAAAAGAUUGUUUAUAAACCAGCAAAUAAUGAAACUAAAGAAGCAAACAAUGAAACUAAAUAUAGACCUUGCAGGAGCUGUGAAAAGAUUAUGG